rnacentral:rRNA from 1 species
AAUUAAAAUAAAUUAGUUAUUUUUUUUUAUUUUACAAAAAAAUAUACAAAUCUAAUUAUUUCAAUUUUAAACUGAAAAGGUUAUCUUUUUUAAUUUAAAAGUAAUUAAUUGUACCUUUAGCAUAAGGGGUUUUUAAAAAAAGCUAAACAUUUAUUGUUUUCGAAGCUAACUGAUCUAUUUUAUUUAUAUGAAAUAUAUUUAAAAAUGUUUUUAAAAAAUUUAAUAGAAGUGAAAUUCUUUCCAAAGUUGGGGAUAUCUAAUUUUAAUAAAAAACGAAAAGUUUUCUUAUAAAUGAAAUAUUUUAUGUAAAUUUAUAAGUAAAUAUUUAAGGGAUAAGCUUUGAAUAUUAAUUAUAUAAAUUCAUAAUUAAUUUUAAAAAGAAAUAAAAUUUUUCUAUUAUUGUUAUUAGUAAUUAAUAGUUUAUAUUAAUAUAAUUAAUAAUUUUAUUUAAAAUUUAAAAAAUAUAUUUUAAAUAUAAAUAUGAAAAUAUUAGUAAAAUAUUUUUUGUAUAUUAUAAACAAUAUAAUUAAUUUUAUAUUUAAAAAAUUAAUCUUAAAGAAUUCGGCAAAAAAAUUUUUUGACUGUUUAUUAAAAACAAUGUAUUUAGAUUAUAAUAAUUAAAUAUAAGUUCUGCUCAAUGAAUAUUUAAAUUGCUGUAGUAUUUUGACUAUACAAAGGUAUUGUAAUAAGACUUUAAUUGAGUGCUAAGAGAAUGGAUUUUCAAAAAAAUUCUUUUUUAAGUUUAAAAAUUAAAGUUAUUUUUAUUUGUGAAGAAACAAUAAUAAAAAUUAAAGACAAGAAGACCCUAUGAAUUUUUAUAAACUUUAAUAUUUAAUUAAAUAUUAAAGUUUAUUUAAUUGGGGCGAUUGAGAAAGAUAAAAAACUUUUUUUUUAUUUAAAGAGAUCCAUUAUUAAUGAUUUUAUGUAAAAAAUACUCUAGGGAUAACAGCGUAAUAAUUUUAGAUAGAUCUUAUAGAAAAAAUAGUUUGCGACCUCGAUGUUGGAUUAGGAUACUUGUUUAAUGAAGAAGUUAAAUAAAGAAGUUUGUUCAACUUUUAAAAUCCUACAUGAUCUGAGUUUAGACCGAUGUGAAUCAGGUUGGUUUCUAUCUUAAUUAUAAUUAUAAAUUUUUAAUUAGUACGAAAGGAAUUUUAAAAAAAUAUUGUAUUUCUGAUUUAACAGUUUUUGCAUCAAUUUUUGGAAUUA